AAAAACAGAACUGAAACCAAAAAUAACUGUACCAGGAACCAGAGGUACUGAGAAAUUGUAAGCAAUCAGAAGCUAUUGUACUAAGAGUAUAUGUACUCUUAUCUGUAAGUUUUCUAAAAGGAUAAUCACACAUCUUUGAUGAAAACACUUUUAAGCAAAGAUUUUGUCAGUUUCUUUUUUUUUCUUCUUAUCUGAAUUGCUAACAGUGGUCCAUCCAGCAUCUCGCAUUCUCUUGAUUGCAGCCAAUUUCAACACUGUUCCUGGAGACUUACAUGGAAAAGAACUCUGUACCUGUACAUAAUUUGCACAUGAUGACUGUCAAAACAAGAACAUUAAGGAAUCAUUUUGGUCAAAACUAGCCAUAUGUGAUUUUUGUUUACCUUCUUGAACAUGUCAAGACUCCCUGUGUCUAGGUCUUUUGGUUGCAUAGGUUUCUUUGAUUUAAUAGGUUUUGGAGAGAAACUCUACACAACAGAUACAGGGGAUUAAGAAAGAGUAGCACAAACCACAAUUGUAAGAAAUUACUUGUUAUUAUUUAUUGCAAAUAAAAAUGCAGAUCACUGUAAACUGUUUGUAUAUAGCACAAUAUCAAUGGUAUGUGAAUAGUGUGAAUAGAUACAAUUUACCAGUA